GGGGGUGUAUUAGCUUCGACAGCUGGAACAUUAAAAACAUACUGCAAGUAAGAGAGUCAACCGCUUUAAAGAGUUGGCAAAUUUUAAGUGCAAACUCACUUAAAGAAAAAGUAGCAUCUCUUUUCAGAGUGCCUGCUUUUUCACCUGUUGUAGCCUAAUCGUUACAACCAUCCGCCCUUCCGCUACUCGACGGGAGAGCUCGGGUGCAAUAUUUCGAGUUGCAUCAUCUUCGGUUCUCUGCGAAGGUGCCUAAGCAAAACAUGAGAUAGGACAGGCGAUUUUUUGUUCCGGCUCUACCGUUUGUCCAAAACACUAGCCGGAUCUAAGCUUGUAGAAUGUAUGUUUUUAACCAGUUGGACGCGGGUGCAACUCCCGCCACCUCCACCA
rnacentral:tmRNA from 1 species